rnacentral:lncRNA from 1 species
GCUUGGGAAAGCUGUUGUCCCACAUCGCCAUCCUUCAAAGUGGGAAAAUGGCAACAAAAAAAGGUCCUGCUACUUCUAAGAUGCGAAAGAUGGUUUUGCAUAAGAUGCUGGUAAACAAAUACAUGCAAUGGAAGAAAUAUCUGUAUCACAAACAGGUCCUUGUCAGAAUUUUCAUGCGUAGUGUUGCUCUGCAUUGUCCUUUAGAUGAGACUUUUAUGUUCAUUUCAAAGCAGACUGAAGAUUUAUCAGGGUUCUUGUUUAAGUCUGGGUUGUGAAGGCAAUUACAGUAUACACCUGAAUUAUAAAUAGACCUUUGGGUACGGUUAUAAUUAGGAUUUCAAUAAUAAAACUGUUAUUCUAGUUGCUUUUGUGUGGG